GGAACUCGUUUGAAACCUUCGUGGCUUCCUGUUGCCUGCAGGAGAAAGUCCUGGCUUUCAAGGCCUGUACAAUCUGCCUUAACCUUCCUUUCUAGCCUCAUCUGCAACUCAAAACUUCCAAAUCAUCCUUGGACACUCCAAUCAAAGAGGACUCAGGAACCAGGUACCAUCUUGAGACCAGAGACCUAACCUGUCUGUGUCUUGAUCUUGGACUUCCCAGCCUCCAGAAGAACCGUGAGAGAAUAAAUUUCUGUUCUUUAUAUAUUACCUAGUCUCAGGUGUUCU
rnacentral:lncRNA from 1 species